rnacentral:tRNA from 1 species
GUAUAACUCAGCAGCACAGUGUUUGCCUGGUAAGCAGAAGGUCCUGAGUUUAAUUCCCAGUAC